AGACGUUCUUUUGGGGAACUCACAGGAGAAGAUGGGAGGAAAAAUAGAAGCAUGACAGAAACACAAAGCUGGAAGUGAAAUGCUCCAAUAUGGCAAGCUCAACAAUGGAGAAGCCUAGACACCUACACAUGACUUGCAAGUGAGCUUCCGGUUAGCCAGUCUACUUCUGUUGCUGUCUACCCAAUCCCUGAUGGAUCUACCUCUAAUAAUAGUAAAAACUCAGAUAAAGAAUCAUGACCAGAAACCAAAAAGAAAACAAAAAGACAACUUUAAG